CUUUUUUCAGUUAUAUUUAGCAACACUAUCAUUCAAAAGUUUGGGGUCAGUAAGCUUUUUAAAUUUUUUUGAAAGAAGUCUGCAUUUAUUUAUUUAUAAGGCUGCAUUUAUUUGAUCAAAAAUACAGUAAUAUUGUGAAAAUAUUAUUGCUAUUUAAAAUAACUGAUGUCUAUUUUAAUAUACUUUAAAAUGUAAUUUAUUCCUGUGAUAUUAAAGCUGAAUUUUCAGCAUCAUUACUCUAGUCUCCAGUGUUACAUGAUCCUUCAGAAAUCAUUCUAAUAUGCUGAUUUGAUGCUCAAGAAUUAUCAAUGUUAAAAAGAGUUAUUUAACAGUUAAUAGCAGUUUCAGCAUUUAUUAUUUUAUAUUUAUUUAUUUUAUAUACAGUGAAUUUAAUUGACCAAAUUAAAGAAUGCAUAAAAAAUACUGACCCCAAACUUUUGAAAGGUGGAAAGGCAACCAAAGAUUUGUCAAAGAGACUUCAUUUGUCACAAGAAUGCCGAUAAAGAGGGUAAAGUGGUAUGGUCAUAUGGUAUCCUUUCUUUAAUUUCAUUGUAAUUUCUCUGUACAUUUUAUACCUCUGUGUGUAGACGUAUCUUAUAACAGGACAACUGUUCAUCUUCAAGAACUGAAAACCAUCUUAUAGUCUCUCAUUACAUAGUGUAUGCAAGUCUGUUCUCUCACAUACAGCACAGAAAUAAUGCCUGCGGGACAUGACCUGGAUUCCUGGAGGUCUCUUAGAUCUGAUGUUAAUGAAGACUUAUAGAACUGAGAGCGGAGCAAGCAAUAAGACUGUUAGAAACUUGCAGGGCCUGGAAGAGGAGCAGACGGCUGCCGGUGUUUCACUAAUCAGUUGACACUACUAAUUGUAUUUCUAAUGCAAUUUGGAUGCUUCAAUUGUAUUUUGACUGUAUUUGGGCUAACAGAAUUCAAUUGAUGGCAUUUUUUUAAACUAAGGCAUUUUGAAAAUGGUCAUUUAGGAUUCAAGUAAGCAUUAAAUGACGUAUUGAAAGCAAUCAUCGAGCAUACUGAAGACUAUCAUGUCAAUUAAAACUAUUAAAAUAUAU
rnacentral:lncRNA from 1 species